GGUAAGGAUGAGUAAAGAGUUGAUAUUCGGUGAAUCAGAGACUACAGUCUUAACAAUAUUAAGCUUUCAUUUGUUUAACAUAAAAGUUGAUAAGAAAGUCCUUUAUAUAGAGUUCCCGACAAUUAUGAGAGAAAGAUAUUACAGAUUCCAAAUUUUUACAGAUGGAGUUCUCACUGACAGACAGAAAAUCGACUCGGUUCUUGUUCUUGCGGAGGUCGAGAUGAACGGAUAAUGUUCUUGGUCGGAGUUAAGCAUUGAUUCACUAAUCCUUUUGUAGACGGAUUGUGCAAGCGUGCAUGCAAAUAGUCCCUUUUUCCUCUUAGAGGUUCACUAAAUGAACAAAUAGUGCUUAGCUGAAAUACCUUUUCUUGCGCUGAUGAUGUUGGUUUCUCUAUUAUAGUCUGUUGAGACUGUUUGCGAAGUUAUUAUUCUCGAUAUUGGUUUCAUACGACACCUGUGUUUAGUUGAUUUAAUUCAAUCGGGGAUAAGAAUCCACGGGCCGGGCUUCAUAUGAUUGCGUGUCAUAUUGCGAUGUCUCUCUGUCUCCUCCCCCGCAUUCUUUUUUCCAUUUUCCCCUCUAAUAAUAAAAAAUAAUGUUGUUAAAAAAACAGAAAUUCGGAGAUGAGGCGAGAGACCCGGUCCGACCCGCGUUUCUGUCCCUCACAAUAUUCCCCUUUCCAAAAUUAUCUACUGUUUUAUAGAUUCAUUUUAGAGACAUUUACAUUUCGUUUCCCGAUUUCCUCUCUUAUUUUUUUUUAUAUUAGGACUCUCAUAUCACUUAGUGAUAUGAGAGUCCUAAAUGAUAUGAGAGUCCUUAGUGAUAUGAGAGUCCGUGCGUCUGGGAACCCGACUGACUUCAAUAUGUGUUCGAGGUGAGAAAAAUAAAACGAUGAGAAACAAAGUAAAAGGAAAAGAAAAAUAUAUUUAUUAUUAAUUUAAAAUGUAUGUAUAUACCUUACAGUAUAGAAUAAUAUAGUUAAGUCCAACAUCUACUCAAUACUUGUUAACUAGACAAUAAAAUUUAUAUAUACAGGGUGAUUUUGACAUAAUCUGCCAAACGAAGCGGGUGGAUAGAACAGCUCAUGUGGAUGAAAAAAAAACGUAUCAACCAUGUCCUAUCUCUAACCGUUUCCCAGUUACAGCGAAAAAACGGAGAAAAUGCGGCAAUUCCAAAAAUCCCACAUUUGUGAGAUUUCUGAAAGAUCUACAUGCAAAAUAAGCACAUAUUCGGAAAGAGCGGAAAAAAUUUUUUAAGAUGACACCA
rnacentral:lncRNA from 1 species